rnacentral:lncRNA from 1 species
UCGGUAGCAACUAAAUGCUGGAUACAAACCUUUCUUUCUAACGUUGGGUGUGGCAACUUAAGACUGCAAUCCAAACAUAUUGUCAUGUGAAAAAACCCACAACAAUGUUGCUUUGUGUAUGUGUUGUUUUGGGCAUUUUCUCCUUUACGCUCCAAGUCUCCAAAAUUGUUGCCCUGCCCACCAUUCCGGACGUUUUGGUCUGCUUUUCUCUUACCAAUCAUGCUGAUGUUGCACAACGGCACGCUGGUGUCACAACUCAGUUCUGCAGUGAUUGACGGAUGCCUUAGUGAGUGUUUAGAGCUAAUAGCUAGUUGACAAAAAAUAUUAGUGAAAUUAAUUAGCUAACUAUUAACUAAUUUACUAAUUUACUAUAUAUAUAAAUAAUAUAUAAAAAUAAUAGCUAAACUAUUAGCUAUAACGUUUAGAUGUCUCUAGAUAAUUUUAUAAUUUUAGCCGCCAACUAUUAGCACUAGUGCAUCCAAACGUCACCUUAGGUUGUUUCAUUGUGGAUUUUAG